GAUGAACGCUGGCGGCGUGCCUAAUACAUGCAAGUCGAGCGAACGGACGAGAAGCUUGCUUCUCUGAUGUUAGCGGCGGACGGGUGAGUAACACGUGGAUAACCUACCUAUAAGACUGGGAUAACUUCGGGAAUCCGGAGCUAAUACCGGAUAAUAUUUUGAACCGCAUGGUUCAAAAGUGAAAGACGGUCUUGCUGUCACUUAUAGAUGGAUCCGCGCUGCAUUAGCUAGUUGGUAAGGUAACGGCUUACCAAGGCAACGAUGCAUAGCCGACCUGAGAGGGUGAUCGGCCACACUGGAACUGAGACACGGUCCAGACUCCUACGGGAGGCAGCAGUAGGGAAUCUUCCGCAAUGGGCGAAAGCCUGACGGAGCAACGCCGCGUGAGUGAUGAAGGUCUUCGGAUCGUAAAACUCUGUUAUUAGGGAAGAACAUAUGUGUAAGUAACUGUGCACAUCUUGACGGUACCUAAUCAGAAAGCCACGGCUAACUACGUG
rnacentral:rRNA from 1 species